GGCCCAGGGGCCCGGGCGCCAAGCCCCUUGCUCCCUUCGCGGCGGUGGGACCGGGCCGCUGCGCAGCCUCCGCCGCUCCCGGCCGUCGGGGCGCCGCGGAGCAUGUCGGAGAGCGACAUGGAGAAAGCCAUCAAGUGCCGCCAGCAGCUGCUUCCGGAUGGUCGGCUUGCUGCCACAGCACUUGGAGACUUGGACUUUACCCGUCCCUCCGCUUUGUUUGAAACUAGCCUCUUGGAAAUCUGCAGUUCAGAAGGAGGAAACCUCCAUUUUAGAGGAAUAUAAUAUCAACUGGACUCAGAAACUGGGAGCUGGAAUUAGUGGUCCAGUUAGAGUCUGUGUGAAGAAUUCUACCCAAGAACGGUUUGCACUGAAAAUUCUUUUUGAUCGUCCAAAAGCUAGAAAUGAGGUACGCCUGCACAUGAUGUGUGCCACACACCCGAAUAUAGUUCAAAUUAUUGAAGUGUUUGCUAACAGUGUACAGUUUCCUCAUGAGUCCAGCCCCAGGGCUCGACUCUUAAUUGUAAUGGAGAUGAUGGAAGGGGGAGAGCUAUUUCACAGAAUCAGCCAGCACCGGCACUUUACAGAGAAGCAAGCCAGCCAAGUAACAAAGCAGAUAGCUCUGGCUCUACAGCACUGUCACUUGUUAAACAUCGCGCACAGAGACCUCAAGCCUGAGAAUCUGCUCUUCAAGGAUAACUCUUUGGAUGCCCCAGUGAAGUUGUGUGAUUUUGGAUUUGCCAAAAUUGACCAAGGUGACUUGAUGACACCCCAGUUCACCCCUUAUUAUGUAGCACCUCAGGUACUAGAGGCACAGAGAAGGCAUCAAAAGGAGAAAUUUGGCAUCAUACCUACCUCACCAACACCCUACACUUACAACAAGAGCUGUGAUUUAUGGUCCUUAGGAGUGAUUAUCUACGUGAUGCUGUGUGGAUACCCUCCUUUUUACUCCAAACAUCACAGCCGGACUAUCCCAAAGGACAUGCGGAGAAAGAUCAUGACAGGCAGUUUUGAGUUCCCAGAGGAAGAGUGGAGCCAGAUCUCAGAGAUGGCCAAAGAUGUUGUGAGGAAGCUCUUGAAGGUCAAACCAGAGGAAAGACUCACCAUUGAGGGAGUGUUGGACCACCCCUGGCUAAACUCGACUGAGGCCCUGGAUAAUGUUCUACCCUCUGCUCAAGUGAUGAUGGAUAAGGCGGUGGUUGCAGGAAUCCAGCAGGCUCAUGCGGAACAGUUGGCCAACAUGCGAAUCCAGGAUCCGAAAGUCAGCCUCAAACCCUUGCACUCUGUGAACAACCCCAUUCUGAGGAAGAGGAAAUUACUUGGCACCAGGCCAAAGGAUGGUGUGUAUAUCCACGAUCGUGAGAAUGGAACCGAGGAUUCAAAUGUUGCCUUGGAAAAGCUCCGUGAUGUGAUUGCUCAAUGUAUUCUCCCCCAGGCUGGUAAAGGCGAGAAUGAAGAUGAAAAGCUGAAUGAAGUAAUGCAAGAGGCUUGGAAGUAUAACCGGGAAUGCAAACUCCUGAGAGAUACUCUGCAAAGCUUCAGUUGGAAUGUUUCCUUGUUUGCUGUUGUACUGAACAUUGGAUUUUUACUGCCAGGUUAAUGGAACUGCUUAAUUGCUAAUUGCAAAAUGGGGGGUCAUAACUGCUUUUGAUCGGUGUUGGGGAUGGUUCCUCCAUUGUGAAGGUGAAUUGGACACUGGUCGUGGAUUCACAGAUAAAGUAGAUCGACUAAAACUGGCAGAAAUUGUGAAGCAAGUGAUAGAGGAACAAACCACAUCCCAUGAAUCCCAAUAAUGACAGCUUCAGACUUUGUUUUUUUAUAAUCUGAAAAACUAUUCUUUAAUGUAUAAAGUAAUUUUUAUGUAAAUUAAUAAAUCAUUUCAUUUUCA